UCUUAAAAAUAAAUUGAGUAUUAUAGUUUUAUAUUACUUAAUAAAAAUUUUGGCCUUUUCCAACACAAAGUUGUUUUGAUUGAAAAAUAGGUAUCUGGGUCACAUUACUUAUUUCGCAUUCUGAAAUUGCCCCGAUGCCGACAGUCGAAGAGAAAUGACAUAAUCGAUACGCGUUACUAUUUUUCUCAAGAUGUUAAAUCAGAAAAAUUUUAAUUUUAAAUCAGCAAAAUUAUAGCUUUUUUUGUCAUUUAUGCAACAAUACAGAAUAAACAUUAAAAUGACUGAAAAAAAAUUGCUAGAUCCUGAAUACGAGUGGAUUAUUCGAACCUGCACAAAUGCCUUCAACGUAUAUCUAACGAUGAUGCAUUUUAUAUUUUACGACAACACUUUGAGUUUGCAACCAGAAAACUCUGAUAUUUCGCUCCUAUCGUACACGGUGUUAAUGGCGGCGUUGGAUCUUUUCGCGUACUGUGUUUAUCAGUAAAUCAAUAAAUUAGAUUACAAGCACUAGCAACAAUGCGAUUCGCGUCGUAGAAGAAAAUAAAAAUCUGACUUUAUAUAGGAUAUAAUUGAGGAUAUAAAUAUGAUUUUUGUAAAAAAUAUUCAAAACUUAUAUUUUAAGUCGUCUUAGUGAAAAUUCUCAAUGCGGAAUUGUACAAGACGUUUUUUUCAUAAUCGUACUCUAAGUAUCAUAAAGGAUAAAAUAUGAAAAGGAAAGGGAAGGUAAGGUAUACGGUAUAUAAUACAGUACUAAUCAUCUUUAUGUGUUCCAAAAAUAUUCUAGUUGUCUCUCGCUCUCUCGCUCUCUCACGUACUCAUCGUCUCGCUAGACAUCUCUUUCUCACACAACGUCCUCUCGCACUUUCUUUCUCUUCGCACUAUCUAAUGUAUCUAUUGUUCAGUCAAGCCACAUACAAAGCCACACAAAUCUGCAAGUUGAGAAAGCAACGGAUGCUUGCAUGUACCUUCUUGAGCUAAUCUAGUGAUAAUCGCACUCCCUCCUCCAACACUAUGAAGCAUUGAAGUUACAUUUUAUUGUGAUGUUACGACAAAAAAAGAUUCGGCGCAAAGAUAAUGUACAGUGGAAGUGUUACGACCUUUUGUUCCUACCAAAUGAUGCGCGUAUCCAGUACCGCAGUUUCGCAUUCUAAUUUGUUCUGUGCAAUCGCCAAUCCGUAUAUAAUUAUAAUUAUUAUCUAUAGCAGAUCGCCAUCUGUUAUAAUCAUAAUUAUCAUAUCAUGGAAGGCAAUAAAGCAAUUUCAAGAAAUUAAUAGAUAUACCGAAUUAAUCGUUUUCUUUUCGUUUAAGUUCAUAUAUAUUGCGAUGAGAAAUGACAACCAAAAUACAAGAAUGAACAGUACAUAAGACAUCUUUUUUCUCGCUCUGUGACGCAGGGUGAUUAAAAAGUAAUUAAAGAAAAUGCAAAGCGUAAGUUUACGAAUAUCAAUAAUACAUUCGUUUCUACUGCGACGUUAUUUUUAAAAAAGAAAGCAUUUAAUGCUUACAUUUAUGAUUAAAAUAAAAUGUUAUAUAUGUAGCCAAAAGUAAAUGUCACCAAAUCGCCAAAAUUACAGAUGGCUCGUCGAAUAAAUGAAAAUAAAAUUGUUGGAUAACACCCAAUUCACGGAGCGACUGGACGCUGCACUCAUUUAUUUACAUAAAUACUUAUUACGAUAUACAUAUACCGAACAAAUAACGAACGGAGAGCAAAUAUAAUUUUUAUUACCCUUGAAAACAUAUAUGCUUAGUAAAUAUAAACAAAAUUUAAUUCACAUUUAAUUCUAUUACAAAAUUGAUAGACAUUUUAAUUUCAACUUUGCGCUCGCUGUUCGCUCGUUGUUCAUUUGUCAAGUAUAUCCACAUCUCUUUUGAGUACUCUAGAAUUUUAUAAUUUAUAUACUUAUACUGUACACAUACAACCGAAAUUCUACCGCUAGCGAAUUUAUAAUGUAUGUACAUAAUUUGGCGGUUUUUGUUUGAAAAUAUUUUAAAAAUCCUUACACACGACAUACACAGUAUGAUCGCUAUAAACCUAUAUUCGACAUCUGCAUGCAUUUUAAUUUGCAUUCUUAUCGCCAAUAGCGACGGGUUCAUACAAGUGGAAGAAAUUUCUGUCAGCCUUCGCUACAACGUUCGUACAAAACAAAACGUAAAUAUAUAAAUAUAUCGAGAGUUCCGUCCAUUAUCCUUCGCAAAACUAACCGAUCAUCACUAUAUCUUUCCUAGAAAAAAAAAA